UUUACAGGCUAGCGCUCUACGUGUACGAGUACUUGUUACAUGUAGGAGCCCAGAAGUCGGCACAGACCUUCCUGUCAGAGAUAAGAUGGGAGAAGAACAUAACGUUAGGAGAACCUCCAGGAUUCUUACAUUCAUGGUGGUGUGUAUUCUGGGAUUUAUAUUGUGCGGCACCUGAAAGGAGAGAAACCUGUGAGCAUUCCAGUGAAGCCAAGGCAUUCCACGACUACGUGAGUUACUCUCAUGGUGUAUGGAUGGAUGAAUG